AGAGUUUGAUCCUGGCUCAGAACGAACGCUGGCGGCAGGCUUAACACAUGCAAGUCGAACGCAUCCUUCGGGGUGAGUGGCAGACGGGUGAGUAACGCGUGGGAACGUGCCCUUCAGUUCGGAAUAACCCAGGGAAACUUGGGCUAAUACCGGAUACGUGCGAGAGCAGAAAGAUUUAUCGCUGAAGGAUCGGCCCGCGUCUGAUUAGCUAGUUGGUGAGGUAAUGGCUCACCAAGGCGACGAUCAGUAGCUGGUCUGAGAGGAUGAUCAGCCACAUUGGGACUGAGACACGGCCCAAACUCCUACGGGAGGCAGCAGUGGGGAAUAUUGGACAAUGGGCGCAAGCCUGAUCCAGCCAUGCCGCGUGAGUGAUGAAGGCCUUAGGGUUGUAAAGCUCUUUCGGCGGGGACGAUAAUGACGGUACCCGCAGAAGAAGCCCCGGCUAACUUCGUGCCAGCAGCCGCGGUAAUACGAAGGGGGCUAGCGUUGUUCGGAAUCACUGGGCGUAAAGGGCGCGUAGGCGGCUUGAUAAGUCGGGGGUGAAAGCCUGUGGCUCAACCACAGAAUUGCCUUCGAUACUGUCCGGCUUGAGACCGGAAGAGGUAAGUGGAACUGCGAGUGUAGAGGUGAAAUUCGUAGAUAUUCGCAAGAACACCAGUGGCGAAGGCGGCUUACUGGUCCGGUUCUGACGCUGAGNNGCGAAAGCGUGGGGAGCAAACAGGAUUAGAUACCCUAGUAGUCC
rnacentral:rRNA from 1 species